rnacentral:rRNA from 1 species
UUGCAGUUAAAAAGCUCGUAGUUGGAUUUCUGGCAGGGGGCAACAGCCCGCUUGCAGCGUGUGCUUGCCGUCCCCUACCAUCCUUCUGUUAACGCGCCAGGACAUUCACUUGUCGGGCGCGGGCUCAGAUAAUUUACCUUGAGAAAAUUAGAGUGUUUCAGGCAGGCUGACGCCGGGAUACAUUAGCAUGGAAUAAUGGAAUAGGACUUUCGCCUCUUCUGUUGGUCUGAGGGGUGAUCGUAAUGAUUAAUAGGGAUAGUUGGGGGCAUUAGUACUUAACUGUCAGAGGUGAAAUUCUUGGAUUUGUUAAAGAC